AUACGGAGGAUGCGAGCGUUAUCCGGAUUUAUUGGGUUUAAAGGGAGCGUAGGUGGAUUGUUAAGUCAGUUGUGAAAGUUUGGGGCUCAACCUUAAAAUUGCAGUUGAUACUGGUUUCCUUGAGUACGGUAUAGGUGGGCGGAAUUCGUGGUGUAGCGGUGAAAUGCUUAGAUAUCACGAAGAACUCCGAUUGCGAAGGCAGCUCACUAGACUGUUACUGACACUGAUGCUCGAAAGUGUGGGUAUCAAACAGGAUUAGAUACCCUGGUAGUCCACACAGUAAACGAUGAAUACUCGCUGUUUGCGAUAUACAGUAAGCGGCCAAGCGAAAGCAUUAAGUAUUCCACCUGGGGAGUACGCCGGCAACGGUGAAACUCAAAUGAAUUGACGGGG
rnacentral:rRNA from 1 species